UGAAAAGAUAUCUGCUACAGUGGUGUAUUCUCAUGUUCUGAGGUCUGUUUGGAGCUAGACUGCCUCCUGCAUAAUCAUGUGCCCAGUGCUCCUUAUGCAGCUGGGUAGUCAUUUCCCCACUGCAGUUAAAUUCUGCCCUCUUGCAAUAAUAUGUGUGGAUGUGAUCCAGCCUUCAUUGAAGCCAAGGGAGAAACGUGACUGGCUGAAAGGUAUUUAUUGCUGUAAAUGAACUAUAUGAGUGCAUGUGCUUCCAAUGGUAAAGCCUACUUGAGAGUCCACUUUGAGGGUGGCAUGCUAAAGGCCUUAAUUUAAAUUCCUUAUUGUGCAUCUGAGUAGAUGGUGUGCUUCAGAUAAAUGUGGAGAACUUUUGUGCUGUAAAAAUAGGGGUCUAAUCCACCGUACAACACACAUCUUUUAAUAUUUAAAAGCAACAAACUCAGUGUUUCAAUCUGUCACCCUAAAGUAGUGUCUGUGUUGGCACAUUAAACUAUGUUAUUUGUUGAGGAAAGUAAAAUUAAAUCAGGAAGCUAGAAAAUUUUACUCAUGUAUGCGGGUCUAUUCAGACUUUCAAGCUGCAUAAAAGCAAUUCCAUGGUUAGUUAUUUAUCAUUAGAUUGAAAUCUGUUUUACAUAUGCUUUGUAUUACAGAAAUUAGUGUUUCCUUUUGCCUUCCACAGGCUUGAUGUUCACCUAAUGCUGUUUCCACAUAAACAUUUUUAAUUAGACUGAAAAUCUGUCAAAACAACUGAUGCAGAAUCAGUCUCAGCAGAAUCAUCUCCAGGAUUUGUGACCUAGGUGUCUUUUCAGAAGCAUCACCCUUAGUUUUCUAUUAAAGGGG
rnacentral:lncRNA from 1 species